UGGGAGACGCGCGAGAGAGAGAGAGAGCGAGCUGGGAGUUCCCAGACCCGGACGCCACCGACCCGAGAAGGAAACCCGGCCAUCGCGCCACCUUCGGGCCACCCCACGAAGGCGCGAGGGAACCCACGUCUUCGUCUCUGCGUCGCCUACCUCUCUGCAUCCUCAGAUCGUCCAUGCAUCGGCUGUGGAGGGAGAAUCGACGGUGAGAAGCUUGAAGCUUUUCCGGCGGGUUCAACGAAUUACGGCGACUCCGGUCAUCGUUUGGGCUGCAUGUGGUAUGAAAAUCGAUCCUCUCAUCAUGAUCUACAUGUCUGUAUGAUUAGUUUUCGAAUUCGAUUAGGUUUUAAUGAUUUUCGAUUUUGGGUGAUUUCGGCUCGCCGUGUUCUUCGACUCCGGCGACGUUUCCGGCACUUCUGGGCUUGGCUUCUGGCUUGAAUGCGUCUGUAGGCGAGGGCUGACCUUGGUUUGGGAGUAAAGUCUGGGAAUUUUUGGGUGGUGAUCGAACUGGGAAGUUUGGGCUUGCUGUGUUCGUCGUCGGACGCAGACUUGCAAAAUUUGGAUUUUUGUUCCUGGUCAAGUUGGGUUCUCUGUGAAAACUUUGAGAAUCAGAUUGUGUGGUCAAUGUCCGGAAAUUGGUUGCCAUGUUUGUAUGCUUACUGUGAAAUCAUGUUUUGAGGGAGGUGUAUUGAGUUUGUUGUGAAUUAAGAAGGUAUUUGGAUUAGUUGGAAAAUUUGGAUGAGUUGAUAAAUUGAUAUUGUGAUGUUGAAUAAUUAGUUGUAUGGAUUUGAAUUGGUUGUGAGGAUGUGCCUAUGCUGGAAUACCUAUAAUGGGUUGUGUGGAUUUCAAAUUGGGUGUCCAUAGUAAUAAUCGUUAAAUAAACUUGAUCGUAUUCGUUGACAAUAUUCGGAAUUUGAUAUAACUUUCGUUUGCUUGAGCAUUGUGUGAAAUGAUAACAAGUAAAGAAAAUGAAUUAAUAUAUUGGGUGACCUUAGUAAAUUCGGGUGCACCUAAUAUUAUUGGUCGAUAUCCUAAAUCUCAAGUAAGAUGUUCGGUAGUUGGGAUAGUUAUCGAACUUAUAGUGAUUGGUCAACUUCGGUCAAAGCAUGGUCAAUCCUGGUCAAACCAGGAAGGGUUGGCUUUAAAUAUUUGUUCGACGGAUUAUUAACGUUAAUUAUGUCGGAAUUUAGGAUUUCCAGUUACCCGAGGAACGGAAGGUUCGUGAAUCUCGGACAACGUAAAAGGUUAAAGCAUCGAAAUCCAGCGAUUCCUUGGGCUUCAAUCCCCUAAACCUCCGGAGGGGCCGUAUGGACGGAAUUUUGACAUCCUCUGAGGUGCGGCACUAUUUCUAGGUGAUAUGGCGUAAGUGGACACUCUCACUACACUUACCUGGUGAUGAUUUUAUUUGAGGUAAGGCCGUGUAGUUGGUUCAUGGGACUGGCCAUAAGGUAUUAUGCAUUUCUUUGAGUUUCGUGCAUUGGAUUUUGAGUCCGAAAGAUAUUUAAAGUUUGUCGUUCUUUAAAGAAAUGGUUUAACUUUUUCAUACUGGGAUCCCAAAUUAUUAUCUUAUGUGUCGGUUUUCAAACCUAGUCGGGUGAAGCCCCUAUUGAGUAGCGAGGACGAAAGCUCACCCCUACAACAGUGUGGUUGCAGGUACUGUGCACUGGGAACGGGAUUGGAGCGGACGAAGCUGGGUGUGCAGAUUUCAAUAGAAGUCAGGGACUCGCGGCACUGUAACGUACUCAAGCUGGUGAAGUGCAGUUUGGGGCGUUACAAGUACGACCUCAAGGAGGACGACAGACAGGCUUCACGGGGGGAAGAAACCUCCUCGGAUGCCAAGGAUCUCGACGAGCAAAACUCUAGAGAUAGGGUCUGCCGCCGCCAGCAAAGAGGGAGGAGAGCUCUCAUAUGCAAAAGCUCCUACUAAGUACAAGUUCAAGUUAGCCAAGAGACAGUUUGAUAUAUAUAAAUAAGGUCUCAAAAUGGUAAAUCUGAUCUUCAACGCUAUAUGCAGUAAUUUCAAUAAGCACUUGAAAUCUUUUUCUAAAUUCAUGGUAAUCGUCCCAAUACGUUAUUCAAUGUAAAUUUAAUAAGUUUUUUUUUUUUGAACUCAA